GGUCAUGUUAAUCUUCACACGCACAUGCUUCUGACACGUACUGGCAAACUGUUCCAGUCUGAUUUAAAGUUGUGUUACC